UACAGAGGUCCCAAGCGUUGUUCGGAUUCAUUGGGCGUAAAGGGUGCGUAGGUGGCAUGGUAAGUCGGGUGUGAAAUCCCGGGGCUCAACCCCGGAACUGCACUCGAUACUGCCGUGCUCGAGUACUGGAGAGGAGACUGGAAUUUACGGUGUAGCGGUGAAAUGCGUAGAUAUCGUAAGGAAGACCAGUGGCGAAGGCGGGUCUCUGGACGAUUCCUGACGCUGAGGCACGAAAGCCAGGGGAGCAAACGGG
rnacentral:rRNA from 1 species